GCCAUGCUCAGCUUUCCCGGGUAGACGAGAUAGCUCUGCGCUCAGAGACACAUGUGAAGAAGCUCCGACCCAGGAUGGACAUAGGCUAGAAUCUUCCAGUCUUCAGUUACUACCCAGACAGAAAGGAAGCAAGAUGAAAAUAUUGCACUGGGAAAAGGAACUAAUCCACGUAGCUAAACAUAGACCUCAAGAGGUUAAAUAAUCCACCCAAGGCCAUACAUACAGCAAGAGCCUACUCAGGAAGUAUGAAAACGAGAAGUGAUGAGCAAGGCCUGGACAUGUUUCUACAUCCACUGUGCUAACAUUUAUUACUGCCAUUCAGCCCUGCACACAGAACGCCACCUAGACCAAGAUAAAUGAGUCCAUGGUCCAGAAGAGGCAAAAUUCCUGACUGAUGGAUUUGGGAUAUAAUCUACUCAUGAAGAAGUUGCUACUUCUGUCACUAUGAACAGAUGUUCCUGGAAAGAGCCACACCCUACCCUGAGCCUUCUGCAAGGCUGUUUAGAACUUCAGUAAUAUGGAGAGCAUGGAAUGUCGUGAGAGCAGAGCCAAAUGGUCCAGGCCGUCUUUAGCCCCCUGAAUCGCCAUUUUG